rnacentral:rRNA from 1 species
GAGUUUGAUCCUGGCUCAGAAUCAACGCUGGCGGCGUGCCUCAGACAUGCAAGUCGAACGCGAAAGCUCCUUCGGGAGUGAGUAGAGUGGCGCACGGGUGAGUAACACGUAGGUAAUCUACCUUUGAGUGGGGAAUAACUUGGGGAAACCCAAGCUAAUACCGCAUAAUGCAGCGGCACCUUCGGGUGACAGUUGUUAAAGGAGCAAUCCGCUUAAAGAGGAGCCUGCGGCAGAUUAGCUAGUUGGUAAGGUAAUGGCUUACCAAGGCUUCGAUCUGUAACCGACCUGAGAGGGUGGUCGGUCACACUGACACUGAAUAACGGGUCARACCCCUACGGGAGGCAGCAGUCGGGAAUUUUGGGCAAUGGGCGCAAGCCUGACCCAGCAACGCCGCGUGAAGGACGAAGUCUUUCGGGAUGUAAACUUCGUAAGAAUGGGAAGAAUAAAUGACGGUACCAUUUGUAGGGUCCGGCUAACUACGUGCCAGCAGCCGCGGUAAUACGUAGGGACCAAGCGUUGUUCGGAUUUACUGGGCGUAAAGGGCGCGUAGGCGGCGUGUCAAGUCGAUUGUGAAAUCUCCGGGCUUAACUCGGAACGGUCAAUCGAUACUGAUGUGCUAGAGUGCAGAAAGGGCAACCGGAAUUCUUGGUGUAGCGGUGAAAUGCGUAGAUAUCAAGAGGAACACCUGAGGCGAAGGCGGGUUGCUAGGCUGACACUGACGCUGAGGCGCGAAAGCUAGGGUAGCAAACGGGAUUAGAUACC